GACGAACGCUGGCGGCGUGCUUAACACAUGCAAGUCGAACGGAAAGGCCUGCUUUCCCUUGUGGAUUGCGGGUACUCGAGUGGCGAACGGGUGAGUAACACGUGAGUGAUCUGCCCCCAACUUGGGUAUAAGCCUGGGAAACUGGGUCUAAUUCCCGAUAGGACUGCAGGGUGGUGCCUGUGGUGGAAAACGAUUUUCUAGUGGUUGGGGAUGAGCUCGCGGCCUAUCAGCUUGUUGGUGGGGUAAUGGCCUACCAAGGCGGCGACGGGUAGCCGGCCUGAGAGGGUGGACGGCCACAUUGGGACUGAGAUACGGGCCAGACUCCUCCGGGAGGCAGCAGUGGGGAAUAUUGCACAAUGGGCGGAAGCCUGAUGCCGCGACGCCGCGUGGGGGAUGACGGGCUUCGGGUUGUAAACUCCUUUCGACCGCGAGGAAGCCACCUGGUUGGAAGGGUGGUGACGGUAGUGGUAGAAGAAGCACCGGCUAACUACGUG
rnacentral:rRNA from 1 species